GCAAAGAAAGACUGGCAACGCCCUGCAUCAGAAAGAUUUGCUGAGAUUCCUGAGCCAAAGUUUUCUCCUCCUCACUGAUCAGCAUUUCAAAUAUUUCAAAUCAGAGUUUCUGUUUGUCAUUAUAAUUUUGCCUUUUGUUCAACUUUAUGACUAAAUUACUCCUGAAUGAAAUAAACAUAUACUGACUUGA